rnacentral:lncRNA from 1 species
ACACUACCGCUCUCAACUACGUCUGCUACACAUAUCGCUGCAAUAGCUGUGUCGCAAUCAUCUGCACCGCCACGUCUGACGUGAUUCUUCUUCUAAGUGAUUACCUUACCCUUCCCCUUGGCCUCUCUCGGCAUACGGGGAGGGCGACGUUGAUCGUUACCACCACCUGCACUGCCACUACCACUGCCACCCUGAACGUCUGCCAUCGUGAUCAAUCCCAAGAAACCCACUGACAGA